rnacentral:rRNA from 1 species
AUUAAUUUAAUGGCUGCAGUAUUUUAACUGUACAAAGGUAGCAUAAUAAUUAGUUCCUUAAUUAGGGACUGGAAUGAAGGAUUGAACGAGAUAAAAAUUGUCUCUUUUUAAAUUUUAUAAUUUUAUUUUUAAGUUAAAAAGCUUAAAUAUUAUUAAAAGACGAGAAGACCCUAUAGAGUUUUAUAAUUAUAAUAUUUAUAAAUUUUAGUAAUAAAAUUUUAUUUUUAUGAUGAUUAUUUGAUUGGGGUGAUUUUAAAAUUUAAAAAACUUUAGUAUAUUUUACAUGGAUAUAUGAUUAAUUGAUCCAAAAAUUAUGAUUAAAAGAUUAAAUUACCUUAGGGAUAACAGCGUAAUUUUUUUAAAGAGUUCUAAUCGAAAAAAAAGAUUGCGACCUCGAUGUUGGAUUAAAAUAAAUUUUUGGUGUAGAAGCUAAAAUAUUAGGUCUGUUCGACCUUUAAAAUUUUACAUGAUCUGAGUUUAAAUCGGCGUGAGCCAGGUUGGUUUCUAUCUUUAAUUAGAUAAAAUAUUUUAGUACGAAAGGACCAUAUAUUUAUAAAGUUUAUUAAUUUAUGAUUAAUAUUA